GGGGGCGAAAUGGCUUCGACGGAGAUUUUGAAGUCUAUGGUAGCAUACCGAGUCUUUUGUCAGCUCGUAAAAUUGGCAAUGCAUAAACAUAAUCGCAGAUGAUUAUAAUUACGCUGUAGCUGCGUAGAGCAGCUUCCGUCCUGCUGAUAUCCUUCUUGCAGAUCUCAGGUCAGGACGUCGACUUUGCAAGACCGCCUUUUAAGGUUGUCUGAACCUUAAAGGUUAAACUUUUCAGACUAUAUUGUUUCGUAUCCAUCUCAAAGGAGACUUUGCAAUUAAUUUUAAAUUUUGAGAUAAGUAUGUAGAAGCCUGGAGUGAUCGUUUUCGGACGCGGGUUCAACUCCCGCCGCCUCCACCA
rnacentral:tmRNA from 1 species